ensembl:snRNA U2 U2 spliceosomal RNA
AUAGCAUCAUCGCUUCUUGGCUAAGAUCAAGUGUAGUAUCUGUUCUUAUCAGUUUAAUAUCUGAUACAUCCUCUAUAUGAGGACUACAUAUUAAAUAGAUUUUUAGAACGGGGAGACGGAAGAGGAGCUUGUUGGACCUGGUAUUGCACUACCUCCAGGAAUGGUGUACCUCCU